rnacentral:lncRNA from 1 species
UACUACCAGAUCAUUACAAUUCAGAUUUUCAUGUAACAUAGGUAUUCUUGUUCAUGAACCAUAGGACUUUUCUGAAUCUCGCAAUUUUGGUGGUGUAACCUGCAACAUUAUGUUUGCUCUUAAGGCUGUUUCUACUUCUGUUUAAAAGGCAACCCAGCUGAGAGAUAGAGUUUCAGUGACAUGAAGAGUGUGACGUUAAUAAUGCCGUGUGUAUGCAUACAUGUUCCUUCCAAUUCUGCUUGAUGCCUUACUAAAUGCAUCACCCACAUGAUAAAGGAAAUUUAUCUAAACAUGUGGAGAAAUGC